rnacentral:tRNA from 1 species
CGGGGCGUAGCGCAGCCUGGUAGCGCACUGGCAUGGGGGGCCAGUGGUCGCCCGUUCGAAUCGGGUCGCCCCGACCA